UCCAAGAAGAAAGACAAAAAAAAAUUUUAAGAAAAGGAGUGAUGAGAUGGCGUCAUUUCGACUGCCUGGGCAUUAGCAGGCCUCCCCCACCUGGUUCAGUUUCAGCUGGAUCUUGGCAUAGCAAAGGGUACUGGGCUGAAAGCACAUGACUGUAAAAAGUAUAAUGUGACUAUCCUGGAAAAACGAGUUCAUAAACUCCGCUUGUAAAGCUGGUGUAACUUUUGACACCUCAUACAGGGACAGGCUUGGAAAAUAAAUACACAUAUCAAUACGUCGUGGCAGGCGCCUCUUCCACACAGAGAAAAAGAUGGUAUCCUUCUGAACGUGCAAGAACAAAUUCAUCCAACCCCUCAACUUCUCCAUGUAUAAUGUAAUUCGAUACCAAAUCGUUUGUAGAACCUUCUGUCUGACAAACCAACCACUCUUAAUUGUGGUCCAUCAGAGCCCUAGCUGCAUCCACUAAUUUUCAGCUGAUGAGAGGGAGAGGGGUUGCAAGAGAGGACCGGAAAAGGUAACUGAAGAUAAGCUCGCCCCCACAAGGAAAACACUAAGGAACUUUGAUUGUGGGGGAAAUGGCUUUCCGACCCGACCCAAAGCUUAUCAUUUUUCUGCCCCUGCAGGGUUUACAUUGUGACCAUGCAGGGUGCUUACUGGAGGAGUUUCCCUCAAAUGGUCUGGUUUGCAAUCACUAUGCUUGCAUUCUAGGAUCCCUGGGAGAGUCAGGUCCAUACUGAGAAAUAGGGUCCCAAGGAAGGUGUUACGACGUGAAGAAUCUGCCAUAAGGCAGACUUGGGUUUGUUGUUGUCAUUGUUGUUUGGUUUUAGCUUCUUCAGUGUCAGGAUAUCUAGUAACAAUGGAGUUGGUCUGAAAACUGAAUGGUCAAAUGCAGUCAAGUGAUACGACUCUGGGCGGGGUGUGGACCGUGAGUGAGACAAAGACUUGGGUUUUGAUAAUAACUGGCUGCUUGAUGAUACUGGACAAGUUCCACUGGUCCUGAAUUUGAAUAACUGACAUGACUUGAACUUAAUAGUAGCUGGUUUGUUACCUCCCCAAUCUCCCUCCAUUAUCAUGCCCACUCCAAAUAGCCAGAUAUUAUCCUGGAUUCAGCUGUUUCUUUUCCCAUUGAUUUGUGUGGCUCAAGUCUAAUGGAAAUGAGUUCAUGUCAUCCAAAUUUCCUUUCACUGAAUUAUUAUUCCUAAUAACCCUGAGCUUAGCACCUGGCACAUUUAUCUAAACAACUUCAAGGGGUUUAUCUGGCUCUUCUGCAUCCCAUGUGGGGAAAAGGGAAGCAGAAGUGCCUCUAAAGACAAAUUGGAGAAUUGAGAUGCUCAUCCAGCUAACUCAAGCCAAGUAUUAUUUUGGCCUGGAAUCUUAGAGUUCUGGUGGAGAUGGUGUUUUGUAUCAACUUCCAGAUAUCUGUCAUAUAUUUUCAUUUUACCUUGCAGCUGCCAAAACGACCAGAGUGGCCAAGUGACUUGCCAUUAACUCCCGAGUGGUGGGAGAAUCCAGCUCACCCAUUUCAAGUCCAGCCUCCCGCCCUCUAUGCCACAAUGGUUAUACUAUUCAGCAUUCAAACGUCAUGACAGACUGGCCUUUCACUGUUCUGCCAAGCGUGAGGAAAGACCAAAGCAGUCCGUUUGGGAAAGCAAAAAGCAGAAUUCUUCCUAACCUGAUAAAAUAUUUUGCCACUAUGACCUACUGUAAUGAUACCACGUUGCACUCUUGCAUUACUGGAAUGGUAUUUUUGCUAAGAAAUUCUGCAGUCCCAUUGAUUCAGAAUGCCAUUGUUGCAGGAGCUGGGGACCUACCUUUUCCUUCCACGGAAUCUAAAGGCAAUUACAACUGGCUUCAUUUCAUGCCAACCUACAUUUGGCUACAAUGCUGAGAGCCAUACCUUUUUGAAAAGCCUAACUUUUUAUCAGGAGAUGGCUUUGAUUCCUUUGCCACUAGGCUUGGGGUGAUUUACCAUCUAAAUUCCAUCACAAGUGGCUCUGGCUUUGUAGAACACAGUACACAGGAGGGGCACCCGAAAGCAAAGACGACCUUCUCUACUCCAAAAAUCAAUCGUCCACCUUUGGCAAAUUCUCCUUCUCAGAUUCAUGCUUGGUGCUCAUGGGUACUCACUCUACUUUCCUCCCUUGCUGGACAAUUAAGCAGUAACAAUAUCUUGUUGGUCCCAUACACACCACACCUUUGGUCUCUUGGAGAAUUUUCAGCCGUACCAAUGGCAACCUCUGAGUGACAUCUUAAUAUGAUCAGAUGUGAUGACAGUUUAGUAACAGGUUCUCAUUUUUGGCUCACCAGCUUUUCGGCCUACAUAUCAUCAGAAUAAGACUGAGGCACAUUAGUGAAAUCUCAAUAGUAAACAAGCAGGUACUGCCAAUAAAAGAGAAAGCAUUCUUAAACUGAUUAAAAAAAAAAUUUAAAGAGCACUUUAAUCACCAUCAGAUGACUUUCAUUCAUACCACCUUUUGGGGCAUCAGUUCAUAAUGCAGAAAAGAUGAAAGAGCCAUCUAAAGGAAAUAAUGUUAACAACUCCGUUAUAAAAUAUCUGAAGCAAUACCUUGCCAGUUGUCAUCAAUGCUUACUGAUCCAUUGUGAUAAAUAAUAAUACCUUGACAUACAAACACUGGCUGGAGCUAUGGGUUCCCCUAAACGAUUUUUUUUUUUUGAGAAUCAAUCAUUUAUCAGAAGCCUGUAGGUUGUAUAUGGUUGCUAAUCAUGGGAAACGGGGGAGGUGUCUAUCCCGCAGCAAUGGCAAUGAGUUAGGUUGUUGACGACACAGGACUGAGAAUUUCUGGGAAGCCCAGAAGAAUCUUUUUAAUCAUGCCCGAAUGCCAUUUCCGAUCUAGUCAAACAUUUGUGAGCUGCCAGAGGAGAACUGUGCAAUCAAUCUUGAGAGUAUAUGUAAAAUUACCCAGGACUCUUGUUUGGGAUUAAGAGUAUCUUGGUAAUAAGGAUUCAUCAUUCUCUUUCAAAAAUCAUCUGUCAGAUUUGCAGCACAAUCUUCAACUACAGAAAGGUGGGAUUUAGAAAGCAGUUGCUGUUUAUUUAUAGUUGAGGCCCUCAGAUCUAAAUUAUCCAUCCUUCCAAAACUCGGUGUUGGGAUGAAAAUGUUAAGUAGCUGCUUUUCAUCAACAUUCAUUUGAUAACUGCUAGCCAUCAAUUUAUAGUUGUCAGCACAGAAUACAAAUGCAUAUUGACUCCUUUAAAGGAAAGGGUACAGAGGUUUCUGAUAAACAAUAUAUGGUAAAGAAAAAAAAAGCACCCACAUAUUGAUAUUUGUAAUGCAUUGGUUAGUACUCUAAUAUAAUACUCACAGGGACACAUGUUACACCGUGUUUUGCUUUCAGGUUUUUCUAUUUUAAAAUGCAUGCUCAUUUAAAAGAAAGAGGAGAUUCCUGUCUUAAAGUAGACUUAACUAUGAGAUAUAUAAAAAAUAGACACAAUAUCAUGGCAUAUCUAUAUAUUCAAUGAUUGUGAGAGAGUAGAUGUUCUAAGAUUGCUUUCUUACAGGGACAUUGCACAGCAAAUGCUGAAUUAAUCCACUUAUGCAAAAAGUAGAGUUAUGAAAGGAAUGAACCCUGGAAGUUAGAUUAGGCUUGGAACACCAAGAGCAGGGAAGGAGAACAGCCCUUUUGAAGACGGCAGUGUUCCCAUGACUAACGUCCCAGGACAAAGUGGUGAUCUGAAGUGAGCAGGUUUGGCUAAAAGGAAAGACACAUACCUCUUCAAACCCUGCCUACUUCCAUUGUUACUCAUCUGGUGUCUGUUGGACAAAGCAAAUACUUCUCAAAUGCAAAGCCAGCCACCUUAUCCAUUGACUCUGUGAAUACACCACUAGGAACAGAAUCAUUUAUCAGAGAGCUACAUUUAUCAGAGAGCUGCUGCGGUGGAGAUGAGGGGGUGAGCCCUCAUGUCACAGGUGGAAUAGAUGGCCGUCUACACGCCCUGUCUUUCCCUGUCUCCCAGUAACACUCCCCCAGGAGAGGCUAUAACCACUCUCCCAGAACAGUGCAGAGGUCAUCUCCAGAUACCUCGGUGCUUGGGAUACAGCCAUUCCUCACAAACAAUUACAGCUUCAAUCUCUCAUUGGAAACACAAAUGAAAGCAAACUGCUCCAAAAGGCCACUUGUUCCCUACUCACUAUCCAAGAGCAAUCUUUUAGGGGACACAUUUGCCACAAAUUGCAUUUGUUCAUAAAGUAAUGCAGCCUAUACAGGAAUGAGGCUCAUAGGCCUCCCUGGCUAGGUGACCACACCAGUAAGUCACCCUCUUCUUCCACCGUGAUACUUCUAUAAUGAAAUUAUACAAUUCAAUUUGGAAUAAGUGCUAACCAACGAACACACCAACUUCCACCAAAAUGAUGGGAAGCAGCAGACGAGAACAGAGAUGUCUACUCCAAAGUCCUCAGCCCUGCAAACUGCCCGGCUUUUUCAGUGAGUUGUAGCCAACGAGUACUAUUCAAGUGACAUCAAUGACUAGCAUUUAUUGAGAGGUUACGAUUUGCCAGGCUCUGCAUGGAGAGCUUUGUAAGCAUUGUUGCCUAACCCUCACAGAGCUCUAUGAGCCAGGGACAGUUAGUAUUUCCAUUUAUUUAGAGAGAAGCCUACCUGAUAUCAGAGAUCAAAAGCAACUCGUCCAAAGCCAUACAGAUAAUUACGUAGAGUGAGUGACUUCAGACUCCGUGUCCGUUGGUACAUGAAACCUGCUCCCCAAAUAUGUGACACAAAUAUUUGCACGUGGCCCAUUUCCUCAUCUAUGUCUUCCACGGGGCUCCGGCUUCCUAUGCCUCUCUGCCUGCUCUGCCGCCUUCUCAGCCAGGCCAUGUCUGGCCAUGAGGUGAUGCCCUAACAUGGCCUAAAAUGAAAUGUGGGGGCUGUCGUGUGUUCACCCGAGAAAUGUUAAAAGGAGAUUUUUUUUUCCAUUGAUUUACUCAUGGAGCUAAAUUGAAAUGAUAUCCAUUUGGAUGAACAAAAAUGAAGACUCAGCACCCCCUUCGAUGAUCCAACAGCAAGUGACCCUUACUAAAAAGGUCGUCCGAUUCAAAAUGCCAUCUCCAGGUGCCAGAUUUGCAGAACUAAGAAACCUACUCUUUGAUGAUAGAAUUUUUUCAAAGCACCGACAUCCCAUACAAGUGAAGUGGACACAACCCCCAUCUUAUCAGUUCCCACGCAUGUAGGUGCGGGCUCUGGAGUGUUUCAUCAGGUUUGCAGAGAAAAUACUGAUCCAUCCCUCUGACUCCCUCUCCUCCAAUGAUUCCUAACACAGUCAUUCCUACAAAUUCCUGACAACUGACUCCCACAAAGGCCUUCAACAAUCCAGCCUUAGACACAUGCAAAUACUUCCUGUAGGUAUUGAAAUGUAACUUUCUUCAUAAACCUUUGGGAGUUUUGCUAACUCACAGGCUAUUCUUAACCUUUAUUAUAGAAGAGGAAUGCACUCAAUUUCCCAAAAAGAAACAAUGAAGAUGAUCAGGAAAGCAAAUAUUUGUUUUCAGGCUUUAGAAGUGUGAGAAAGUGUUCUGGAGAAUCCAUUUAGAUCCCAUGCCAACUCUUAGCCCUCCAGAAGAGAACAUGCCCUCCCUAACAAAUUAGACGUGGACAAUGUGUUUAGAUGUUGAUCUUUUGCCACAAGGAAAAAUAUUUCUUUGCUAGCAACAGGUUCACAAAGGUAGAAAAACCUCAGGCUCCUUUUCAGUUGCCUCUCCCAUGACAGGUGAAGAGUGUCAUUCCCCAGGUGACACUAGGGACAGUGUCUAUGACAGGGGCUUGAUGGCCGUGGCUCAGAGAGAGUAAAGUGCCAGUCCAUCACCAUAAAUGCAACAGGUUCAAGCACAGACCACAACCACAAAUUACAAGGGACACCUUGAGAGAAACGCAUGCAGGGGGAAGAGUGCCAUGCAGCUUUUAAAUGACAGGCACGUGCUCACAGGCUUCUGUUCAGAGAGAACCUGUGAGCUGUCCUGUGGCCUUUCCUGUUUACGGUGCAGCCAUCCCAAAUAUGAUGCCCCCAAAUCCGAGUCUGGCUAGAAGGAAGUGUCAUACAAAGGCCAUGCCAUUCUCCCUGACAAAAGACAUGAGUUUCUUGCAAGAGCACUAAGAAGUUUUAAGAGGUGGACUCGAAGAGAGGAGAAUGAAUUGGAAAGCCAGCAAGAAUGUGGCUCUUACUCCUCUGUGAAAUAUUUGCAGGAACGAGCCUGGAGACCAGCAGGUUCAGGAUGGAAAGCUGGAAAGAAUUCUUUCCUAAAACUUAAGUUUUAGAGAAAAAUAGGCAGCCAGUCCCAACCACCCAAAGGCGUCCAAAGCCAUGUUUGUUCUGGGAAGGCCAAGGCAUGGGAGGAUGUUAACUUGGGCUAUCAGCAGGAUUGAAGGGCAGGGUGACCUUGGUACGCUCUCAGGGCCUGUGUUUCCAAGUCGACAAACUGUUCUGAGCUUUUCCAUGAAACGAGUGAAGCCCUUUUCAUACCUCCUUCGUGUUCCAGAAUUCUUGCCAUCGAUGUUCCAAAGGAUCUGUGAUAGAUUUAUGUCUAGCCUUAAAUGGGACGAGUUGUAACAUUCAGAAUUAUUUUAUCUUUCUGAGACCUGCUAUUAUUGUGAGACCCUAGACAUGCUUUGCUGGGGUUAGGGUGAGGGUACUCCUAACGAGGGAAGGAAAAAGAAACGGCUUCAAGGCAAUCCAUGUGGGUCAUUACAUGCACACUUGUUCCAUCUUCCAUUUGUGCCUGCCCAAAGCGUUCUAGAACUGACCGGACCUGAGAGGCUGUCUCAUUAGAACUAAGAGAAGGUAUUGUUGAUGAUGUCUUAUAUCCAUGGAAGAAUUCCCUGGGCAUUCCCUCUGAUGCUGCCUGGGAUACCUACAUUGCUCAAAGUACAGUUUCUUUAUGAAUAGGGAUGAAACAUCGCAUUGGGGUAUCUAUUCUUCCAUGGUUGGUUUGAAAUAGCCAAGCAGAAGUGCCAUAGAAAUUUGCCAACAAAAUAAGCAUCUAACUGAUAGUGUCGUCCUUCUACAUGGAACAAAUCUGAUGGCAUGUCACUGAAAUUUUCCAACUGGGCCACCUUGAUGCCCGUGCUAAAGGACUGCUGGGUGUUUAUAAGAUAUAAAAGAAGAUAUUUAGUGUGUGUUUAUUUGAAACAUUUUACAUUUUUACUCUACUUCUUUAACCUCUGUUAUGGUUAUAGCUAGCUCGUGUACUGCGUAUAAAUGUAUGCAUCUGUAUUCGCCAUCUACACCAAAAUAAACCUUUGAAAUUAUUGCCAGGCAGAAUUAAUGAGCUCAGUUCUAACAGCGCAAAGAAUAUCUUCAUACUACAGGUAAAACAAACAGCUUCUCCCUUCCCUUCUUCUGCACAGAAUGGCUCUACGAAGUCUGCCUGCAAAAUUACGUCUUUUAGAAAACCAAGUAGCUGGCUGUUUUGUGAGCAGGGAGGAUUUCAGGACGAACCACAAACAAGCUGUUUGUUUAGAUUUUAAGGUUGACAGUUCAUUUACACGUAUGCCCCAUAAGUAUUCUAUAACAUAGUCCUGAAAAAGCACUGAAGAAAAAAAAAAAAAAAAACACAAGGUCUCCGCUGGGGCCACAUCAUGGGAAGGAAUUAACUCUUAACUCUGCCUUCCAGAAACAAAUUAAGAGGAUGUACUUUGCAAUAAUUCAGAUCUCACAGGUAGGCCCCCAAUGUCCAGCCCCGCUAUUUCAAAUCGGGCAUGUCUGAGUUAGGUGUGUGGAUUUCCAUACAGAGCUCACUGGAACAGACCAUUUCUCAGGUUCCAAGACGCUGGCCUUGUUAAUAUUUCAUUUAGAACAUACUGUGGAGAGUGUCUCAUUUAUAUUACUUCCAUAAUUAAUGGUGAUAGCUUAGGCACUGCCUUUACACAGAGAGAUCUCUUCACAGUGGUCGAUGGGUAAUGAGAAACAAUAGAUAUUUCAUUCACCAGCAGCGUGUUGCUAGUUAGUAGGAAAUGAUCGUGUGUGCUGUUGCUUUAAUUGCCCGGGUAAAUAAUUCUGCCUCGGUGUUAGUGAGCAUUUUAAAGCACUUGAUGCCAAUAGACUAGAAACAAACAAAAAUUAACCUUGAUUAUGCAACACCUUAGCAUAGAAAGUUACAAAGGUAUGUCUUUUUUAAAGUUUGCAUUCUAUCAUGCAAAUAUUAUCUAAAUAUGCAUGUGCUGACUACUCAUCUACUGUAUUUUAGGAAAUACAAUUAGGCUGCCUUUCUCUUCCCCUAUGUAGACUGUAAAUAACUGUAGAUCUUUCUCUUGUUUCCCUAUGUAAAUAUAUGUAAAUACUAACAAGCUAUGCAUGCUGCUAUUCUAGGCAAUUUCAGGUACUUUUAUAAUAUGAAGGCAUGUACUUGAACUCGUUUGUUAACAGAGGGGAAAAAACUCUCUCAAACUCUUUAAAGCUGAAUAGAAAUUAAAGAUUUCUUCCUA
rnacentral:lncRNA from 1 species